GGUGCGGCAGUUGCGAUCGGCGCGGUCGAGGCGUGGAGCAGUCGAGAGGGAACAAGCGAGCGAACGAGAGAGAGAGAGAGAGAGAGAGAGCAAGCAGGAGAAAAAAAGAGAGCGACUCUCACGCGAGAGGGAAAGACCGCGAAGCUCACGCCCGCGUAAUUCCGUUACAUGUGCGGUCUGCCGUUGCCGGCGUGCGACAACGUUUUCGAAAGCGCGGAGGGCGAGUCCGUUCGUCGUUGCGGCAGUGGUAGUAAGUAGUGGUGGUAGUGGUGGUGGUGGUGGUGGUGCUAGUGACAGCAGUGGAGGUGGUGUAGCAGCAGCAGCAGCAGCAGCGGUGGCGGCGUGGUGUUGGUGCCGCCGUCGCGCACUCGCCGUUGAUCGCACAUCGUGGCGACAGCUAGUAGCGGCAGCCGUCGUCGCACGUCGCCGCCGUCGUGGUCGUCGUCGUCGUCGUCGCCCGGUCGCCGUCGCCGUCGCCGUCGCUAGACUCGGACAGGCUCGACUCCGAGUCGACCGUGUCGCGUACGCGAGUACAAUACGCGGGUAGUCGUGGACGUUACCCGCGCGUUUGGAAACGAGGUAACGGAUUAACGGUGUGUGGAGUGUGAGUCGCGCGCGCGCGCCCGCGCAAGGGACGAGAGAAAGUACGCACGGUCGGGACGCACAGGGGCAGGCCCGCAGCAGCAGCAGCAGCAGCAACGACAGCAGCAGCAGCAGAAGCAGCUUUGCCGCGUCGUGUUGCGCGCGAUCGCUAAACAAAGAUGGCGGACGUGGACUCGAGGGUAGACCGGUCCGAUCCGGAGCUGCGUAUCUUGUCGGUCGACAGGAACAGCUUCAACGACCCGGCGACCCAGGCGGAAUGGACUCAAAAGAAGCUGGUAUGGGUGCCGCACGAGACGCAGGGCUUCGUCGCCGCCGGCAUCAAGGGCGAGCGCGGCGACGAGGUCGAGGUGGAGAUCGCGGAGACCGGCAAGCGUGUGCUCGUCGCGAAGGACGACAUACAGAAGAUGAAUCCGCCCAAGUUCGACAAGGUCGAGGACAUGGCGGAGCUUACCUGUCUCAACGAGGCCUCCGUUCUGCAUAACCUCAAGGACCGAUACUACUCCGGACUGAUUUACACGUACUCUGGCCUCUUUUGCGUCGUAGUAAAUCCUUACAAAAGACUGCCGAUAUACACAGAGAAGAUCAUGGAAAGGUACAAAGGCAUCAAGAGACACGAAGUGCCACCACAUGUGUUUGCCAUUACUGAUACGGCUUAUCGUUCCAUGUUGCAAGAUCGCGAGGAUCAGUCGAUUUUGUGCACCGGCGAGUCCGGCGCCGGCAAGACCGAGAAUACGAAGAAAGUGAUUCAAUAUUUGGCCUAUGUGGCCGCGUCGAAACCCAAGUCCAACGCGACUCCGAGCCCGGCAUUAAUCAUAGGAUCUGGGAGUGUCACGGAAAAGUUUGCGGGUGAGCUUGAGCAACAGCUUCUUCAGGCAAAUCCAAUCUUAGAAGCAUUUGGUAAUGCCAAGACCGUGAAGAACGAUAACUCAUCCCGUUUCGGCAAAUUUAUAAGAAUAAAUUUUGACGCAUCCGGUUAUAUAGCCGGUGCAAACAUCGAGACAUAUCUUCUGGAGAAGUCGAGAGCUAUUCGGCAAGCGAAAGAUGAAAGGACGUUCCAUAUAUUUUAUCAGCUGUUGGCAGGCGCUUCAAUGGAACAAAAGAAGGAAUUUAUACUGGAAGAUCCAAAGCACUAUCCUUUCCUAUCGAAUGGAGCUCUACCAGUUCCUGGUGUCGACGAUUCUGCCGAAUUCUUCUCCACGGUCAAGUCAAUGCACAUCAUGGGCAUGACCAACGAGGACUUUUCCUCCAUCUUCCGUAUCGUUUCCGCCGUGAUGUUGUUUGGCUCGAUGCAGUUCCGUCAAGAGCGAAAUUCUGAUCAGGCGACCUUACCGGACAACACGGUGGCGCAAAAGAUCUCACAUCUAUUGGGUUUAAGUGUGACCGAGAUGACGAAAGCCUUCUUGAAGCCGCGUAUUAAGGUCGGUCGUGAUUUCGUUACAAAAGCACAGACGAAGGAACAGGUGGAAUUCGCCGUGGAGGCGAUCUCAAAGGCCUGUUAUGAGAGGAUGUUCCGUUGGCUGGUGAAUAGAAUCAAUAGGUCCCUUGACAGAACGAAGCGACAGGGCGCCAGUUUUAUCGGCAUAUUGGAUAUGGCCGGUUUUGAGAUAUUCGAGUUGAAUUCCUUCGAGCAGUUGUGUAUCAAUUACACAAAUGAGAAGCUGCAACAAUUGUUCAAUCACACGAUGUUUAUUUUGGAGCAGGAGGAGUAUCAGCGUGAGGGAAUUGAAUGGAAAUUUAUAGACUUCGGGUUGGAUCUGCAGCCAACGAUCGAUCUGAUCGACAAACCAAUGGGCAUUAUGGCGCUUUUAGAUGAGGAAUGUUGGUUCCCAAAAGCUACGGAUAAGACAUUCGUGGAGAAACUUGUUGGCGCUCACAGCGUCCACCCGAAGUUCAUGAAAACUGAUUUCCGCGGUGUGGCCGAUUUCGCGAUCAUUCAUUAUGCUGGUAAAGUGGACUAUUCUGCCGCUAAGUGGUUGAUGAAAAAUAUGGAUCCAUUGAAUGAGAACGUGGUCAGUCUUCUACAAGCCUCGCAGGAUCCAUUUGUAUGUCAUAUCUGGAAAGACGCUGAAAUCGUCGGUAUGGCGCAGCAGGCGCUCACGGACACGCAAUUUGGUGCGAGGACGAGGAAGGGCAUGUUCAGAACGGUUUCGCAACUGUACAAGGAACAAUUGUCCAAGCUGAUGGUGACAUUGCGCAAUACAAAUCCGAACUUUGUCAGAUGUAUAAUUCCGAAUCACGAGAAGAGAGCUGGUAAGAUCGAUGCUCCACUCGUGCUAGAUCAGUUGCGAUGUAACGGCGUGUUAGAAGGUAUUCGUAUCUGCCGGCAAGGCUUUCCAAAUAGAAUUCCGUUCCAAGAAUUCAGACAACGUUACGAACUGCUUACUCCAAAUGCUAUUCCUAAGGGAUUUAUGGAUGGAAAGAAGGCUUGUGAAAAGAUGAUUCAAGCAUUGGAGUUGGAUCCGAAUCUUUAUCGUGUUGGACAAUCGAAGAUCUUUUUCCGUGCCGGGGUAUUAGCUCAUUUGGAGGAGGAGAGAGACUACAAGAUCACGGACAUAAUCGUCAAUUUCCAGGCAUUCUGCCGCGGUUUCUUGGCCAGGCGCAAUUAUCAAAAACGUCUGCAGCAGCUUAACGCGAUCCGCAUUAUCCAGAGAAACUGUGCGGCCUACCUCAAGUUGCGCAACUGGCAAUGGUGGCGAUUGUACACCAAAGUGAAGCCUCUGCUGGAGGUUACGAAGCAGGAGGAAAAGCUCACGCAGAAGGAGGAUGAAUUAAAGCAGGUUCGCGACAAGCUGGAGCUACAACUGCACUCAGCUCAGGAAUACGAGCGCAAAUAUCAGCAGGCGAUGGCAGAAAAGACUGUGCUGGCCGAGCAAUUGCAAGCAGAGGUCGAGCUUUGCGCGGAAGCCGAAGAGAUGAGAGUUAGGCUGGUUGCGAGAAAACAAGAGCUAGAAGAAAUUUUGCACGAUUUGGAAGCGCGUAUCGAGGAAGAAGAAGAGAGAAGCGCCGCGUUGACCCAGGAGAAGAAGAAGUUACAGUUGAACAUCAGCGAUCUAGAAGAGCAACUGGAGGAAGAGGAAGCUGCUAGACAAAAAUUGCAAUUGGAAAAGGUCCAAUGUGACGCAAAGAUUAAAAAGUUAGAGGAAGAUCUCGCUCUUUCGGAUGAUACUAAUCAAAAGUUGCUAAAAGAGAAAAAGAUUCUCGAGGAACGUGCCAACGACCUUUCACAAACUUUGGCCGAGGAAGAGGAGAAAGCAAAGCAUUUAUCGAAAUUGAAAGCUAAGCACGAAGCGACAAUCGCCGAUCUUGAGGAGAGACUUCUCAAAGAUCAUCAACAACGACAGGAGGUGGAUAGAUCCAAGAGAAAAGUCGAAACUGAAGUUUCAGACUUGAAGGAUCAAUUAGCCGAAAGGAAAACGCAAGUUGAGGAAAUGCAGCUUCAACUUGGCAAACGCGAGGAGGAACUUAAUCAAGUUAUGGCAAAAAUGGAUGAAGAGGGUGCCGCUAAAGCCCAAGCUCAAAAAGCGCUUAGAGAAUUAGAAUCACAAUUAGCCGAACUUCAGGAAGAUUUGGAAGCUGAGAAAGCGGCUAGAGGUAAAGCGGAGAAACAGAAGCGUGAUUUGAAUGAGGAACUCGAGGCAUUGAAGAACGAAUUGCUCGAUUCUUUAGACACUACCGCAGCCCAGCAGGAGUUGCGAAGCAAACGAGAACAAGAACUCGCAACAUUGAAGAAGAACCUCGAAGAGGAAACAUCGUUGCAUGAAGCCACGCUUGCCGAUAUGCGUCAUAAGCAUACGCAAGAACUGACUGCUCUGAAUGAACAGAUGGAUGCAUUGAAGAAAACGAAGGCAGUUCUGGAGAAGGCAAAAGGAUCUCUAGAGGCGGAAAAUGCCGAUUUAGCAACAGAAUUGAGAUCUGUCAGCGCAAGCAGGCAAGAGUCUGACCGCCGUCGUAAGCAAGCGGAGCAACAGUUGGCGGAGAUAACCGCGAAAUUGGCAGAAAUAGACCGAACUAAACAAGAAUUAGCUGAGAAAGUGACGAAAUUACAACAAGAAGCAGAAAGCGUGAUGCAGCAAUUAGAAACCGCCGAACUGAAAGCAUCUGCGGCAUUGAAGGCGUCGGCCACGUGCGAAUCCCAAUUUACCGAGCUUCAACAGCAAUUGGAAGAAGAAACUCGGCAGAAACUGGCUCUCAGUUCGAAGUUGCGCACUUUAGAAAGUGAAAAGGAAAGUUUGCACGAUCAAAUUGAGGAGGAAGAAGAAGCAAAACGUGCCUUGGACAAGCAAGUGUUGAGUUUGAAUAUACAAUUGGCCGAAGCUAAGAAACGUGCCGAUGAUGAAGCAGAGGCGGCUGCCGUUCUCGAAGAAGCCAGAAAACGUUGUACGAAAGAUAUUGAAGGUCUUCAGCGGCAAGUUGAAGAGUUGCAGGCAGCCAACGACAAGCUAGAUAAAUCGAAGAAGAAGAUCCAGGCAGAAUUGGAGGACAGUAUCAUCGAGUUGGAGGCGCAGCGAGCAAAGGUACUCGAAUUAGAAAAGAAACAGAAGAACUUUGACAAGGUGCUAGCCGAGGAGAAAGCUGUAUCUGAACAGUACGCAGAGCAACGAGAUGCUGCGGAGAGAGAAGCGCGCGAGAAGGAGACAAGAGUGUUAUCAUUGACUCGCGAAAUGGACGAGCUUAAUGAGAAAGUUGAGGAACUUGAACGAGGCCGUAGAGGCCUACAAUCGGAACUGGACGAAUUGGUUAAUAACCAAGGUACCGCUGACAAGAAUGUCCAUGAGUUGGAGAAGGCAAAACGUUCAUUAGAAUCGCAAUUGCAAGAGCAGAAGUCGCAGGUAGAAGAAUUGGAAGACGAGUUACAAUUCACAGAAGAUGCUAAACUGCGAUUAGAAGUGAAUAUGCAGGCGUUACGAGCUCAGUUCGAGCGUGAUCUCCAGACCAAGGAAGAACAAGCGGAAGAGAAACGUCGGGGAUUAGUGAAACAACUUCGUGACCUCGAAGCAGAGCUCGAGGAUGAGAGGAAACAGCGUGCCGCAGCCAUCGCAGCACGUAAAAAAAUGGAGGCGGAUUACAAGGAUGUUGAACAACAAUUGGAGAUGCAUAAUAAGGUGAAGGAAGACGCGCUUAAGCAACUGAAGAAACUUCAAGCUCAAAUCAAGGAUUGCACCAGAGAAACUGAGGAAGCCAGAGCCGCCAGAGAUGAACUGGCAGCUGCUUCUAAGGAAACUGAGAGGAAAGUCAAGAGCUUAGAAGCUGAUUUGUUGCAAUUAACCGAGGACUUUGCCAGCAGCGAGCGCGCCAGAAGAACCGCUGAAAAUGAAAGAGACGAACUGCAGGAAGAAGUCAAUAACAACGCCAACAAGGGCACUCUGAUGUUAGACGAGAAACGUAGGUUGGAGGCAAGAAUCGCUACUUUGGAGGAAGAAUUGGAAGAGGAGCAGUCGAACGCCGAGAUCGUGAUGGAUCGCGCCAGAAAAGGUCAGAUUGUGAUCGAGCAGUUGACAACGGACUUGGCGACUGAGCGAUCCACCACGCAAAAGUUGGAAUCACAUAAGAUGUUGUUAGAGAGACAGAACAAAGAGCUCAAAGCCAAAUUAACUGAGCUAGAAACCGCGCAACGUGCCAAGACUAAGGCUACGAUACAACAAUUGGAGUCUAAGAUCAAUAAUCUCGACGAGCAACUUGAAACCGAAGCCAAGGAGAGAUUCGCCCAGCAGAAGAUCAAUCGCAAGCUGGAGAAGAAAUUGAAAGAACUAAGCCUACAGUUGGAGGACGAAAGACGAAACUCUGAUCAAUAUAAAGAACAGGCGGAGAAAGUCAACGCCAGGAUGAAGGCGUUGAAGAGACAAUUGGACGAAGCGGAGGAGGAGAUCAGUAGGCAUAAGACCAUGAAGCGGAAAGCGCAAAGAGAAAUGGACGACAUGAUAGAAUCUCACGAAGAGCUCACGCGGGAAUUGACACAUCUAAAGAAUAAAUUAAGGCCAUACGUAUCUGUAACCUUAGGCGAACGUAAUGAGGCAGUAUUAAAGUAGUGUUUUAUCUUUGAAGGAAGUGAUCAACUUCUGACAUGUGUAGGUGUCAAGAGAGAAAAAACGAUUGGUAUCCUACCUGAGAGAGUUUUUUGCUAGGAAACAAUCCCAUUAGUGUCCCCAGUGUGCUACAGCGCGGUGGUCCUCCGAUAAGUCUGAGCUCCACGAGGCUGAAACGCGGUUCUGUACAAACCGGCGGCUCGGGCGACGAUUCGACGACGCAGGACGAGAGCAUCGAUGGGGAGGAGAAUGCCAAUUGAAUAUCGGAGUCAGUCCAAUGUGCUCUCGAACCUCUGUGAAUUAUGUACAUACGUGCGUCGAGAGGGUGUUGGCUUUUUUUUGUUUGAUUCGGCGCGUCACACGGACUAAAUCUAUGUCUCGCGUCGCGAGUACGAGAGACCAGCUCCAUGCGAUUAAAAUCAAAAAUCGUUUCGACGAUGUCCCGACGGCGUUUUCGGCCUUAAGAUUAUUGCGACAACGAUCGUCCCGAGAGUUCGAUUGAUUGAUAAGGUGCCGAUGAUCCUAAAAGAAAGAGCCCCCCAGAGGCGAAGUAGCGAAAAAAAAACAAAAAUAAUCGAAUAGAGGACUUUUGAUACAUUUUAUAUAGAACAAACGCAAAUGUUGACCGCAUUUUACAUAUAUGUAUAAGGAAAGAACAGUGUAUGUGAGAGAGAAAAACAAAGUAGAAAAGGGAAAAUUUAAAAUAAAUUUUGGAGAAAGAA